rnacentral:rRNA from 1 species
GGGUGAAUGAGCCGAAUAUGUGAACGUUGGGUUGUGGUUAGAAGCUCGUAGUUGAACCUUGGGCCUGGCUGGCCGGUCCGCCUCACCGCGUGUACUGGUCCGGCCGGGCCUUUCCCUCUGUGGAACCUCAUGCCCUUCACUGGGUGUGACGGGGAAACAGGACUUUUACUUUGAAAAAAUUAGAGUGCUCCAGGCAGGCCUAUGCUCGAAUACAUUAGCAUGGAAUAAUGAAAUAGGACGUGUGGUUCUAUUUUGUUGGUUUCUAGGACCGCCGUAAUGAUUAAUAGGGACAGUCGGGGGCAUCAGUAUUCAAUUGUCAGAGGUGAAAUUCUUGGAUUUAUUGAAGACUAACUACUGCGAAAGCAUUUGCCAAGGAUGUUUUCAUUAAUCAGGAACGAAAGUUAGGGGAUCGAAGACGAUCAGAUACCGUCGUAGUCUUAACCAUAAACUAUGCCCACUAGGGAUCGGA